rnacentral:rRNA from 1 species
UACGUAGGGAGCAAGCGUUGUCCGGAAUCAUUGGGCGUAAAGCGCGCGUAGGUGGCUUCGUAAGUCCGUUGUGAAAGUCAAAGGCUCAACCUUUGAAAGCCGAUGGAUACUGCGGAGCUAGAGUACGGAAGAGGCGAGUGGAAUUCCUGGUGUAGCGGUGGAAUGCGCAGAUAUCAGGAGGAACACCAAUAGCGAAGGCAGCUCGCUGGGACGUUACUGACACUGAGGCGCGAAAGCGGGGGGAGCGAACAGG